rnacentral:rRNA from 1 species
GUCGACUCCUACGGGAGGCAGCAGUGGGGAAUAUUGCACAAUGGGCGCAAGCCUGAUGCAGCCAUGCCGCGUGUAUGAAGAAGGCCUUCGGGUUGUAAAGUACUUUCAGUCGGGAGGAAGGUGGUAAGGUUAAUAACCUUAUCAAUUGACGUUACCGACAGAAGAAGCACCGGCUAACUCCGUGCCAGCAGCCGCGGUAAUACGGAGGGUGCAAGCGUUAAUCGGAAUUACUGGGCGUAAAGCGCACGCAGGCGGUCUGUCAAGUCGGAUGUGAAAUCCCCGGGCUCAACCUGGGAACUGCAUUCGAAACUGGCAGGCUGGAGUCUUGUAGAGGGGGGUAGAAUUCCAGGUGUAGCGGUGAAAUGCGUAGAGAUCUGGAGGAAUACCGGUGGCGAAGGCGGCCCCCUGGACAAAGACUGACGCUCAGGUGCGAAAGCGUGGGGAGCAAACAGGAUUAGAUACCCGCGUAAGU